ACACAUUCCAGCCAAUCAGCAGCAGACCCUCCCUCCCAGGCCCUCCCAUCUCCUGGACAGCAUCCAUUUUGAAGCUGCAUUCUUAGUGAGCUGUCCAGGAGGUGGGAGGGUCUGGGAGGGCCUGGGAGGGAGGGUCUGCUGCUAAUUGGCUGGAAUGUGUCU